UAGGGAAUCUUCCGCAAUGGGCGAAAGCCUGACGGAGCAACGCCGCGUGAGUGAUGAAGGGUUUCGGCUCGUAAAACUCUGUUAUUAGGGAAGAACAAAUGUGUAAGUAACUGUGCACAUCUUGACGGUACCUAAACAGAAAGCCACGGCUAACUACGUGCCAGCAGCCGCGGUAAUACGUAGGUGGCAAGCGUUAUCCGGAAUUAUUGGGCGUAAAGCGCGCGUAGGCGGUUUCUUAAGUCUGAUGGGAAAGCCCACGGCUCAACCGGGGAGGGUCAUUGGAAACGGGGAAACUUGAGUGCAGAAGAGGAAGGUGGAAUUGCAUGUGUAGCGGUGAAAUGCGCAGAGAUAUGGAGGAACACCAGUGGCGAAGGCGACUUUCUGGUCUGUAACUGACGCUGAGGUGCGAAAGCGUGGGGAUC
rnacentral:rRNA from 1 species